AAAAUAUUUUCUAAAGCUCAAGAUUUAAUUUAAACCAAAAUUUUCUGAUACAGACCUAUUUCCCCCAUUUUCAUCCCUGAUAGAUGUUCUCCAUUAUCUCAUUAGUAAUACAUUCCCGUGUGUGGUUGUCUUAUCACUACACUUUUACUGUCAUUAAUUUUGUUCUUAUCUUCUCACUGAGGAUCUGGAUAGAGUCAAUUGUGAUGAAAGCUGUGACUAGGCAACUUGAAUGGAGUGACACUGUGGGCUCAAUACAGGACACAGCCGAAAACUUGGUCUCCUUCUCCUUUGACAAUCUUUCUGUAGAGAAUAAUUUGGAAUGUUGGAUUUCCUCUAUUUCAGAAGAAGAACUUUGCUGAACUUUUUGGUGAUACAGCCCCUCCUGAUCAGAAAGCUCCCCAGAUGUCACUCUCUGUUGCUCAUCCAGAAGUUGCUGAAGUUCCUCUGCAGACAGUUCCUCUGAGUGUUCCUCCACCAGUUCCUCAACAUUACCACUGUUUUCUUGCAAGCGUCUAAACUGCUAUGGUGACAGUAUCAUCAACCACACGGUCAAUCGAAGGUUCAGGCUCCUCUACACAGCCUUCAAAGUCACUCUGUAGUAUAAUUUCAGGCCACACUUUCUUCCAGACAAAUCUCUGUGCCUUAGAGAGAGACAUUGGUUCAGGAUUUCUCAAUUAACCCCAUCCAGG
rnacentral:lncRNA from 1 species